UUGUUCCUAAUACCAGAUUGAUUACCUUGUUUUAAUAAUAGCAGUCAGCUAAUUUUAAAUCCAUUUACAUGUAAUGCCUCCUUGCUGUUCUCUC